rnacentral:rRNA from 1 species
GACGAACGCUGGCGGCGUGCCUAAUACAUGUAAGUAGAACGCUGAAGAGAGGAGCUUGCUCUUCUUGGAUGAGUUGCGAACGGGUGAGUAACGCGUAGGUAACCUGCCUUGUAGCGGGGGAUAACUAUUGGAAACGAUAGCUAAUACCGCAUAACAAUGGAUGACACAUGUCAUUUAUUUGAAAGGGGCAAUUGCUCCACUACAAGAUGGACCUGCGUUGUAUUAGCUAGUAGGUGAGGUAAUGGCUCACCUAGGCGACGAUACAUAGCCGACCUGAGAGGGUGAUCGGCCACACUGGGACUGAGACACGGCCCAGACUCCUACGGGAGGCAGCAGUAGGGAAUCCUCGGCAAUGGGGGCAACCCUGACCGAGCAACGCCGCGUGAGUGAAGAAGGGUUUCGGAUCGUAAAGCUCUGUUGUAAGUCAAGAACGGGUGUGAGAGUGGAAAGUUCACACUGUGACGGUAGCUUACCAGAAAGGGACGGCUAACUACGUG